AGAGUUUGAUCCUGGCUCAGGAUGAACGCUGGCGGCGUGCCUAACACAUGCAAGUCGAGCGAAGCGGUUUUAAGGAAGUUUUCGGAUGGAAUUAAAACUGACUGAGCGGCGGACGGGUGAGUAACGCGUGGGUAACCUGCCUCAUACAGGGGGAUAACAGUUAGAAAUGGCUGCUAAUACCGCAUAAGCACACAGCUUCGCAUGGAGCAGUGUGAAAAACUCCGGUGGUAUGAGAUGGACCCGCGUCUGAUUAGCUAGUUGGUAAGGUAACGGCUUACCAAGGCGACGAUGAGUAGCCGACCUGAGAGGGUGACCGGCCACAUUGGGACUGAGACACGGCCCAAACUCCUACGGGAGGCAGCAGUGGGGAAUAUUGCACAAUGGGGGAAACCCUGAUGCAGCGACGCCGCGUGAAGGAAGAAGUAUCUCGGUAUGUAAACUUCUAUCAGCAGGGAAGAUAGUGACGGUACCUGACUAAGAAGCCCCGGCUAACUACGUGCCAGCAGCCGCGGUAAUACGUAGGGGGCAAGCGUUAUCCGGAUUUACUGGGUGUAAAGGGAGCGUAGACGGUGUGGCAAGUCUGAUGUGAAAGGCAUGGGCUCAACCUGUGGACUGCAUUGGAAACUGUCAUACUUGAGUGCCGGAGGGGUAAGCGGAAUUCCUAGUGUAGCGGUGAAAUGCGUAGAUAUUAGGAGGAACACCAGUGGCGAAGGCGGUCUGCUGGACAGCAACUGACGCUGAGGCGCGAAAGCGUGGGGAGCAAACAGGAUUAGAUACCCUGGUAGUCCACGCUGUAAAC
rnacentral:rRNA from 1 species